AAAAAAGCAGGGGUCAGUUGCCUAUGUGAACUGGCCUCUCGUAAACUUCAGGGAUAUAAAUCUUCAUUGUUUUUGGGUGAACCUCUUUUCUUUCUUAGUGACUGAAGGUUCAGUAAAUGAUGGAACAAAC